UACGGGCCAGAAAGCCAAGCUGGG
rnacentral:piRNA from 1 species